AUUGAACGCUGGCGGCAUGCCUAACACAUGCAAGUCGCACGGGGGUCGCGAGGCCCUAGUGGCGGACGGGUGAGUAACGCGUAGGAAUCUGCCCUGGAGUGGGGGACAACCUGGGGAAACUCAGGCUAAUACCGCAUGAGCUCGAGAGAGGAAAGCGGGGGACCUUCGGGCCUCGCGCUGCAGGAUGAGCCUACGUCCGAUUAGCUGGUUGGUGGGGUAAAGGCCCACCAAGGCGACGAUCGGUAGCUGGUCUGAGAGGAUGAUCAGCCACACUGGGACUGAGACACGGCCCAGACUCCUACGGGAGGCAGCAGUGGGGAAUAUUGGACAAUGGGCGCAAGCCUGAUCCAGCAAUGCCGCGUGGGUGAAGACGGCCUGCGGGUUGUAAAGCCCUUUGGGUGGGGAAGAACGGCGGGCGGCGAACAGCGGCCUG
rnacentral:rRNA from 1 species